rnacentral:lncRNA from 1 species
GCCUCACCUCCCUCCAUAUCCUCAGCCUCCGCUUCGCUCCACCACUCCAACAGUUUCUCCGACGAAAUUCGGUUCGGAUUGGAGCUAAGAUUCAAGCUCAUUAUUCUUCUGCAAAACCCAUCAACAACCCGUGAAACUCCAAGAAAAUAUCUGCCCUCAUCGAAAACAGAGUUUUUCGGAGAAAAAAAUCCAAGAAAAAAACUAUUUAUGCAAGAUGCAUGAUGCCUCCGGAUCCAAACAUUCCCGUUGUUUUUCUGCUUUUUAUCGUCUUCUCCGACGAUGGCGGCAAUUAAGGCUUCGGUGGUGGUGGCAAUUAGAGCUUUGGCUGGAGUUUAGUAAUUUUACUAGGCUCGCUAAGAUUCUAGAAUUUGCAAAAGAAGAAUCGACUGGUGUGGAACUGGCAAGAAGAAGUU